UACAGAGGUCUCGAGCGUUAGGCGGAAUCACUGGGCUUAAAGCGUGUGUAGGUGGAUCGUUAAGUACCUUGUGAAAUCCCACGGCUUAACCGUGGAACUGCUUGGUAUACUGGCGGUCUUGAGCCACUUAGGGGCUACCGGAACAAAUGGUGGAGCGGUGAAAUGCGUAGAUAUCAGGAGGAACACCUGUGGCGAAAGCGGCGCACUGGACCACAACUGACGCUGAGGCGCGAAAGCUAGGGGAGCAAACAGG
rnacentral:rRNA from 1 species